UGGGGAAUUUUACGCAAUGGGCGAAAGCCUGACGUAGCGACACCGCGUGAGCGAAGAAGCCCUUUGGGGUGUAAAGCUCUGUCGGCAGGGACGAAUAAAUGACGGUACCUGCAGAGGAAGCAUCGGCUAACUACGUGCCAGCAGCCGCGGUAAGACGUAGGAUGCGAGCGUUGUCCGGAUUCAUUGGGCGUAAAGAGUUCGUAGGCGGUUUGUUAAGUCUGAUGUUAAAGGCUCGGGCCCAACCCGGGUAUCGCAUUGGAUACUGGCAGACUGGAGUGCAGUAGAGGCAAGUGGAAUUCCCAGUGUAGCGGUGAAAUGCGUAGAUAUUGGGAAGAACACCGGUGGCGCAGGCGACUUGCUGGGCUGUAACUGACGCUGAGGAACGAAAGCUAGGGGAGCAAAUGGG
rnacentral:rRNA from 1 species